CACUAAGAGUACCUCUUCAUGAUCUCUUUACCAGUCGGUGUAGAACCAGUGAAGCCAACUUUGCGAACAUCUGGGUGUUUAGAUAAGUGCUGUCCCACUAAGCCACCUGGGAUGAGGAAAACAGCUUAACUGUACAGGUCUGCAAGCCUGCAAUCAAACCAUUACAAAUGCACAUCAAAGAGAAGUGACCUUUAACCACUGAGAGUGUAAAACUGUAUUUUGUAUGGCAAAGACCUGUAACUAAAAUAGUAUGGACAACCGACUGAGUGUUAGAUGCUUCAAAGGCACACAGAUCCUAAUGUAAUGCAAAUUGAAUUUUAUAUGCCUUAGCACAUUUAAAAAUCUGGGCUAGUCUCUUUUUAAAUUCAAGUUCUCUGUCUGUUGGCUUUGUGAAGCAUGUCAGUGAAGUAUAACACUAUCAAAAUGUUUGUGACAAAAAUUGUUAAUAGUAGCUAUAGGAGUGUCUCUUCACUGUCCUCUGCUCAGCAGAAAGUUAUGUUUGCAUGAAUGGAUUUUUACAACCAGGUCUUAGGUCUCUUAUAUAGAAAUGAAACAUGCGUCAAGGUUUUUCUUAAGUUUCUUUCUGUGUUUUGUUUCUCAAAUGUAUAAUUAAUGCUCUCAUGUGAUUUUAAGAGGUUGAUUACAUGCAUUUUAGAUCCCAUAAGGAGUAUUUAAAAGUGGGUUUGGAAACUAUUUUUUCCACUAUGUCAGUUCUGCUCAUUUAAAACAUUUGCAGAGAUGUGGAAAAAUGCUCUUUAAUACCUGUUCUAACUGCAUCCAGCAGUUAAUGGCCAGGGCAUCAGAAUUAGUGUGCAAAAGGAUAAGUAUGGCAUGUCAAGCACAAAGGAGAAAGUUCCACUUAGUGCACGCCUAAUACCUUCUGUAAAUGACUCCUUAAGACAAAGUAGCAGAGCCAGGCUUUUAACAGUACAAACUUCUCCAGUUUGGCACUCAAAAGGUCUAGUUUGAACAGAGGCCAGAGGAAAAAGGGCCCUUGUUUGAAUUAAGGUGGACUCUGACAGCGCGAGUAUGAAUAUCCAUCAACAGUGGAUACAUCGAACAGACAACAAGGGAUAUAACUGAGCAUGCAUCAGUUCUUCAGAGGAACAAAAUAUGAUUUUAAAAAAACAAAACAAAACAAAAACCACACGAGCUGCCCUUUACAUACUUGUACAUGAGUCGCCCUCUUUCUCUUGCAUUCAUUCUCCCCCAUUCACCGUUUUCAAAUGCCUCUUUUGCUGCUGCCACUGCUUUGUCAACAUCAGCCAAGGAAGCAGAAGAUACACUGGCAAUUACCUGUCACCAGGUAGCAAUGUGUUAGCUCAAACAGAAAGGCUGGAUGCAGAGUGUAACUCUUAACUGGGUAUAAGCAAAUAAUUAAUAUAAUAAUAAUCUAAUAACAUAGUAAUUAAUAAUAUAAUAUAAUAAAUAAUAUAAUGGAGCCAAUCAGCUGUCAUGGGUGAGACAUGCUGCAAGAAGUUGAGACACAGCUGAUGGUGGCAGAACUUGGAAGACAACAUAGGGACUCUGAUUCCUACAUCCUUCUUUACAUCAAGAUGCAUCAUCCCACUGGAUUUCGCCUUUUCUUUCUAUGUGUAAGAUCAGCACAGUAUUACAAAUGUUGAAGGUCUUUACAUGUGAUAUUAUGAUCUAAUAUUCAAAUAUGGUAAAAUGAGUCCUCAACAUUUCAUUUUUUAGGAGCUGAGUUUCUGUUACCACAACAUACAUAUAGUACUUUCUGAUGAUUGUGCUCUAUACAAAUAUACAUUGUAAAUCCUAACACAGAAUUGCUAUGACUUUUAUUCCAUUCCAUAACAAAGUACAAAGAAGUGCCAGUUUCUGGCUUCUGAUGACAGUGAAGUCUGUGCUACUGAUUUCAACAGAAUUCAGUUACUCCGGAAUUAAAAGGGGCAGCAGAAUGACUUCUUCUAUUAAUAAUUCUGAGUUGCUCAACCAAGAUUUAGUGCUUUUGAGGGGAAAAAGUGGAACUGUAUUUUCCUGUUGAAAAGUCAUUUUUCUAACUGGGUAUUUAAUGGGCUAUUAUAAAGUCACAUUUGCCCUAAGACAGAUGUGUAAAUAGAAGUAAAGUAAAAACUGAAAUUAAUGACUGACAGGAAAUACAUACAAUAUUGUAAAAGAAAUAUCUCUUUAGCAACUAAACAUUAGCCAUUUUUGUUUGCAAAGCUAAACAGGAAUGAGAAUAGGGUAAAACAUACAGCUGUAUGGAGAUUAACAUACUAGCUGAAGUGGAAUUGGGUUAUUUUUAAUGCACAACUUGACUGAAAUGCAAAAAAAAAGUAGAAUGUGUAAACUGAGAACCAAAUUUAAAUUUAAAAUUAUUUUGAGAUGUUGCUUAAUGUAUGGUUUUGAACUUGGUGAUAUUUGGUGCUUUAGAUUUUUUUGUAGGCAAAGGAAUUGAAAUAAACUGAAAUUGAGGGUUGGACUAGAUGAUCUCCAGAGGUCCCUUCCAACCCUUACAA